GACGUAGGGGGCAAGCGUUGUUCGGAAUUAUUGGGCGUAAAGCGCUCGUAGGCGGGACUGGAAGUCCGUGUUGAAAGACCUCGGCUCAACUGAGGGACCGGCUCGGAUACUCUAGUUCUUGAGGCAAUCAGAGGGUGAUGGAAUUCCCGGUGGAGCGGUGAAAUGCGUUGAUAUCGGGAGGAACUCCGGCGGCGAAGGCGGCGAUCUGGGUAGAUACUGACGCUGAGGUGCGAAAGCGUGGGGAGCAAACAGG
rnacentral:rRNA from 1 species